GGGUGAGGCAGGGAGAGGAAGGGGUCGGCCGCAGUUCUGGGGCUUCCUAGUCAGAAGCCCUCUGUAAGGCACUAACUUCCCUCUUCCCUCUGCAGAUUUUUUUUUUUUUUUGAGACGGAGUCCUACUCCACCCAGGCUGGAGUGCAGUGGCACAAUCUUGUCUCACCACAGUCUCUGCCUCCCAGUUCAAGUGAUUCUCCUGCCUCAGCCUCCCAAGUAGCUCGGAUUACAGGCAUGCACCACCAAGCCCAGCUAGUUUUUUUGGAUUUUUAGUAAAGACGGGGUGUCACCAUAUUGAUCAGGCUGGUUUCGAACUCCUGACCUCAGCUUCCAAUUGUGGACAAGAUAAGGACCAUUGCCCAGGCUGUCUAUGGAGCCAAAGAUAUCGAACUCUGUCCUGAGGCACAAGUCAAAAUAGAUCGUUACACUCAGCAGGGUUUUGGAAAUUUGCCCAUCUGCAUGGCAAAGACCGAUCUUUCUCUGUCUCACCAACCUGACAAAAAAGGUGUGCCAAGGGACUUCAUCUUACCUAUCAGUGAUGUCCGGGCCAGCAUAGGUGCUGGGUUCAUUUACCCUUUGGUCGGAACGCAAAACCCCACAAAAGUUUUCCACAGUUGCAGCCUCCAGUUCCUCUGCUCCCAUUCUCCUACAUCCAUGAAAAUUGGUGCUUGCCAAGAUCGCUGAAGGCCUCCACGCUGAAGGACUCCUCCGGUGAUCAACUCUGCCUUUACCAUAGUUAACACUGCAGCGGGAUCUGAACAGUGUUUCGCCUCCGUGUACAACUGGACUCCUGCGUGCCUGCAGGCUCACACUGCUUCUCCCUCUCCCUCCUAGGCACUGCUCAGGCCUCACGGCCGCAAUCGCCCCAUCUCGCCCAUGCCAGUCUUGCUCCUCCCAGUCACUCUGCACUCACUCCCCGGCCACCUCACAGAGUUAAGUGGCAUCUACAUGCUGAGGGCUGUACAUCUAAGUCCCUGGCCAGACCUGUCUCUCCAGACUUGACACUCCGCUUGUCUGCAUGAUACCCAGCCGAAACAAACAUCAUCUUCCCAAAACUGCAUCUGCAGACAGUUUCCUAUCUAACCUGCAACAACCCAUCCUUCCAGGAACUUCCAGUCGCCAUCCUCAUUUCCUCACACACCCCACAUUCAGUCCACCAGGAAAUCCUACUGACCCAGCUUCCAAAUAAACUCUAUCCGGGUUUGACUCUUUGUCUCAUCUCCACUGCCAGCCCUCUGGUUUGUGCCACCGGACUGAUCUCUACCGGACUGAUGUCUUGGCAGAGUGAUCUGAUUACCUGAAUGUCUCUCCUCUGCUCAAAACCCUCCAAGGACUCCCAUUUCAGAGUGAAACAUUCAGUCUCUUCCAAUGGCCCACAAGGCUCUAGGUAAUUUUAAAUUGUAAAUGGUGUGAAGCAGAAACUUCAGAGUUAGCCUAGUCAUGCCUUUCAAAGGUCAACACAGACUAGCAACCACUAAGCUAAUGCCUAAUCAGGAAACAGUCCUUUGACUAGAUGAAGAUCUAGGAUGAAACUCCGUUUCACAAAUCAUAUACCUAAUCUGUUCCAGCUUACACAGGCACUCCUGGUCUCACUAACAAGACGCAACUCAGAUGCUCACCAUCAACUGUACACACGUUUCUGUGUCUGUCUCCUUCAGAGUGAGAUCACCGCCUCCAGCAACCUGCUCAGCACCCCCAGGCAGGAGGGCCACACCAUCUCCCUUUAUCUCCGCAUCUGACCUUAUACUCCACAUGUCCUUCUGAACUCUGACCAGGAUGAGUUUUCAGAGCACUUCCCCUGGGAGCUCUGCUGUGUCCAUAAGCCACACGGGCCACUGAUCACCUGCCAUUCAAAUCAGGGAGCAGCGAUCGGAAUAGGCAGCAUUGGCUUGCACUGAAAUAAACACACUGUCUCAGAUCACUACAUUGUAAAAGUCUCAAAAGUAGAGACCAUGUCUCAGUCACUUCGGUUUCCUAAUUCUUGUUACAAAACAGGUAUGGAUCUUUUUCUGGUGAUCUUCUGACUGUAGAAACAAUGAGCUCACUGCAUGAAUAAAUACACUCACAUGCAUCUACCCAGGAGUCCAAAUGAAAGGCACAGAAGCAGGAUAGGAAGCAGGGACCCAAAGAAAGUCAGGGAUUCCUGCACUAUGUGAUAGUCUUGACAAGGGGCUGAGAGGAACUGAGGUUUCUCACCUGUGCUUCUUUCUGCAUUUCUCCUUUAAGAUCAUCAAAAUAUGUGCUUUCUCCUUCAUCAUAUUCUGCAUCAAACAUCUCCUUCAAUUUUCUCUUCUUAUCCAAAUGCUUUUUCUUGGCACUUUCUUCUUCGUCAGGGUCAAUUUCUUCCUUGUUUCUCUAUAUCUUCAUUCUUAAAUUUCCAGAAGAAAAAAUUUUGUGUAUGUUUAUGAAGGUCUUUUCUUUAAACAUUACAUUUUUUAAAGUUCUAUUUAAACAAAAAUCUUAGCAAAAAUCUGUUAUCAUUAUCAAUAAAACAAAACAAAACACAA